GUGGUUUGACUAUUUUUAGUGUUGUAUUUGGAUUGCUUUUUCUUAUUUGUGUUAUCUAUUGUAGAUUUUUGAUCUGCAGUUACCAUCAAGUUUUUUUUUGUUUGUUUUUGCUUUUUAUGGCUGCACCUGUGGCAUAUGGAAGUUCCCAGGCUAGGGGUUGAAUGAAGAGGUACAGUUGCCAUCCUACACCACAGCCAUAGCAACACAAGAUGGGAGCCACAUCUGUGACCUACACCACAGCUCGUGGCAACACCAGAUCCUUAACCCACUGAGUGAGGGCAGGGAUCAAACCCACAUCAUCAUGAAUGUUAGUUGGGUUUGUUACUGCUGAUCCACAACUCCCACCAUGAAAUUUCGAUAAAGGAGUCUAUAUGUAUACACAAGAUUGUUUUAAGUUGUUGGUCUCUUAACUGCAGGUGCAUCUCCAGUGUCCUGCAUUUGUAUCCUCCUCUUCUCACAGUUUCUGGUUUUGGUAGCAUAUCUGUGUGUGGAUGAUUUCCUACCUUCACUAUACGCAUGCCUUUACCAGUGAGCCUUAUCAUUUGCAAUAUGUUUGUUUCUAGUUGUGGUCUUUCCUUUUCUAUGUAAGUUCCUUUAGUAUUUGCUAAAAAGCUGGUUUAGUGGUGCUGAAUUCGCUUAGCUUUUUCUUGCCUGGAAAGCUUUUGAUUUCUCCUUCAAGUCUAAAUAAUGAGCCUUGCUGGGUAGCGUAAUCUUGGUUGGAGGUUUUUUCCUUUUAUCACUUUAAGUAUAUUGUGCCCCUCCCUUCGGGCCUACAGUUUCCACAGAAAAAUCUGCUGAUAACUUUAUUAGGGUUCCCUUGUAUGUUGUUUGUUUGUUUUCCCUAGCUGCUUUCAAUAUUUUCUCCUUGUCUUUAAUUUUGGUCAGUUUAAUAUGUGUCUCGAGGUCUUACUCCUUGGAUUUAUUUUAUAUGAUAUUCAUCACACUUCCUGAGUGAGUGAUUCCUUUCCCAUAUUAGGGAGGUUUUUGGCUAUUAUCUCUUCAAAUGUCUUCUCUGGCCCUUUUUCUCUCUAUUUUCCUUCUGGCCCCUAUAAUAUGGAUGUUCAUGCAUUUAACAGGGUCCCAGAGUUCUCUUAGACUGCCUUCAUUUCUUUUCAGUCUUUUUUCUCUUUUCUGUUCCUCGUCAGUGAUUUCCGCUAGUCUGUCCUGGGAUUUUUUUUCUUAUUCCCUUAUCUGAGUCAUAAUUCUCUGCCUUUUCAUUUUGUAUAGAUUUUUGGUAUGUUCUCCGUUUUGCCAACGAUAGGGUUGUAGCUUCUUUUGUUUCUGCUGUCUUAUCCCCUUGUGGCUGAAGCUGGUGUGGGGGCUUGCCGCUGGCUUCCUCAUGGGAGGGACUGGCGCCUGCCCACUGGUGGGUGGAGCUGAUUCUUACUCCUCUCGUGGGCGGGGCUUUGUCUCUGGGUGUGAUGAGAGGCAGCUGUGAGCCUGGGGAGGACUUUAGGCAGCCUGUUUGCUGAUGGGUGGGGCUUCGUUCCCACCCAGUUUGUUGUUUUGGGGGGGGGGCUUUGCAGCCCUGAUGGGUGGGGCCGGAUUUUUCCAAAAUGGCCACCUUUCGGGGAGUUCACAGUGAUGACCAUUCCCGAGGCCUUUGCCUCCAAUGUCCUUUCCCCACAGUCACCCCCUUUUUAUCAAGGAGCUCCUCCAAGAACUCCAGGCAGGUCUGACCCAGAUUUCUAUAGAGUCUCUGUUUCGCUCUGGGACCCAGUGCACAUUAAAUCUGCGUGCACCUCUCAGGAGGGGAGUGUCUCGUUUCCCCCAGUCCCGUGGCGCUCCUGCACACAAGCCCCACUGGUCCUCACCACCAAAUGCUCUGAGGGCUCCUCCUCCCAAUGCCAGACCCCCAGGUGUGGGAACCUGAUGUGGGGCUCAGAACUCUCCCGGGGAUGAGCCUCUGCAAUACAGCUACGUUCUAGGCUGUGGGCCGCCCACCCGGUGGCUGUGGGGUUGCUUAUAUUGUGUAGGAGCCCCUCCUGUUGUCUCCAUGUAGCCUCCUCUUUGUCUUCUGGAGCAGGAUAUCUUUUUUGAUAGUUUGCGGUCUAUUCUGUUGAAGGCUGUCGAGCAGCUUGUGGUAAAUUUUGUCGCCGUUGUGAGAGAAGGUGAGCUCCAGUCCUUCUCCGCCACCGUCUUAAUCCCAUCUCUCAAGUGACCUCUCUUGCUGGAGCUCCACCUCCCUGGAAAUCUUUCUAGAACCAGAGCACCCUCCGUAAUGUUUUUAAAGAGAAGAAAGCAGAUUUUAUCGCCGCGGGUGACAGCUGCGACGGAGGCUGGCUGGCUGCAAGGGGGGAGGGGGCUUUCCGCCCCAUCUUCUGUUACAGGAUUUAGUGGCUCAGCAAACUGUGGAAUUCGGGGCCUUUCAUCUUGUUUCAUCUGUUCCAGGCCAUCACUGCAGGCAAAUGGCCUUGAUCAAGUUACUUUCCUUCCGUUUCCUCAAGUCCUCUGCUCGUCAGAGAAAUUCGGGGGUCAACGCCAGACCCAGUCACCCAGAGUCUUUGUGCAGCCGGGCAUGUAAAAGUCCUCGUGGGCACGAGUCAGGUUUGUGAAUGAUGAGCCACGGCAGGACCCUCCCACCCUCUCUCCUUGACGGGAUUCCCAUGGCAUUCCCUACUGGAGUUCUAACUCCAGGGCACGUGAAAGGGAGAGGGAUGGAGGUGCGGGCAAGUGCAGGGGCCUGGCACCUGCAUCCUCCGGGGGUGUGGCCAGCAGUUCCAGAGGCUUCGAGGUGAACGAUGGUGCCGUGUUUGGUCACAGGGUGUGGUGGGAGGAAGCUCUUGCAGGAGGCACAGGCAGGGGGUGAAGAGAUGCUUUGCUGAGUGGCGAUACAGGUAGUAAGUGUUUGAGGACAAGAUGUCCUCGGGACAGGCUGCUCUUUCCCAGGAUGCUGCCGGGACAGGGAGGCUGGGUCUUGGGCUCUCCCUGAGGACCAGGCCAGCUCUUGUGGACAGUGUUCACUGUGGCUUUCACAUGCUUCAAAGAGGAAGCCCCUGUGUGCACGUCAAACCACAGAAGGCAGCUCUUUCAAAAUCCUGCUUUGGGAAAUGCCACUUCUGUUGCUGUCAGGCUGCACGGACACUUUGGCCGUGGU
rnacentral:lncRNA from 1 species